rnacentral:rRNA from 1 species
AGUCGAACGCUUCAGCAAUGAAGAGUGGCAGACGGGUGAGUAACGCGUGGGAACCUUCCCAGUGGUACGGAAUAGCCCAGGGAAACUUGGGGUAAUACCGUAUAAGCCCUUAGGGGGAAAGAUUUAUCGCCAUUGGAUGGGCCCGCGUCGGAUUAGCUUGUUGGUGAGGUAAAAGCUCACCAAGGCGACGAUCCGUAGCUGGUCUGAGAGGAUGAUCAGCCACACUGGGACUGAGACACGGCCCAGACUCCUACGGGAGGCAGCAGUGGGGAAUAUUGGACAAUGGGCGCAAGCCUGAUCCAGCCAUGCCGCGUGAGUGACGAAGGCCUUAGGGUUGUAAAGCUCUUUUGGCGGGGACGAUAAUGACGGUACCCGCAGAAUAAGCUCCGGCUAACUUCGUGCCAGCAGCCGCGGUAAUACGAAGGGAGCUAGCGUUGUUCGGAAUUACUGGGCGUAAAGCGCACGUAGGCGGACUUGUUAGUCAGGGGUGAAAUCCCGGGGCCCAACCUCGGAACUGCCUUUGAUACUGCAAGUCUGGAGUCCGGAAGAGGUGGGUGGAAUUCCUAGUGUAGAGGUGAAAUUCGUAGAUAUUAGGAAGAACACCGGUGGCGAA